GUAAGUUCUUAUGCGUCUAGUUAGUAUGCGUACUUCUUCAAUAUAAAGCGGGGAAGUGGUUAUUAAUAUGGUACAGUCUCGGAGGUUUAUUUUCAUUGUUGGAAACUAUGUUUAUUUUCAUUGUUGGAAACUUGGAAAUAUCAUCAUGAUUCAUGAACUGUAAGUCUGUAAGUUGUAACUAAAGUACUUAAGUACUAAACUACUAAUGACUAGUAUAGUAGUAUCUGUGUUUCUUUAAAGGCAAAAUUAGUUUAGUUUUGUAAUUUUGAGUUUUUGAAUUGAUAUAAAAAUGAAUUGGAUGAA